GAGCUCACAGACCAAGUACCCCUGGGUCUGCAGCAGGUCUUUAAGAAGAAAGGCAUGAGUGCCACUCUCUAAGGAAGCCUCAGUGUGGUAGCCACACCAACAAAGGGGAAACAGCUGCUUCUGGGAGUCUUGGCUCAAUCGUCCCUCUCGGCAGCAGUAGAUGAGGGAAGGGUGAGGGAAGUUAAGAGUCGGAAUGAAGGACAGCUAGCACUCUGGUCAUCUUUGUCCCUCUCUCCUGAAGGCAGCAUGCCCAAAAUGUCUAAACUCUGGGGUCAAGCAGAUUCCCCAGGGAAUUCCCCAGGGAAAUACAUGGGGCAUGGAGUAUAGGUCAGGUUAUUAGAAUUGCAGUGAAAACUUAUUCAGGAUCCCACAAUUUAAAAAGCAAAAGUAUUCUCUACAAAGGCCUUUUUAUUGGGCCUCUUAUUUUGCCACAACCAAUACCAGGUGAGUCCAGCUCCAGACUAAAAUAAGCUUUCUUGUCCACUUGCUUACUUGGUGUUAAUUUCUCCACUCAUAAUAAGGUACUAGAAACAGCUUUAUUUUUUCUAUUGUUAUGGGUCCUAAUAUCAAUAAAUGAAGGCAAAAGGAAGAAGUAGGUUUGCUGUAAGGCAUAAACUUGCUCCUGCUGUCUGUUUCCCAUAUCAGAAAUUUUCUCAUCCUCUAAUUCAGGGGUCAGCACAUGACAUAAAUAAAACUUUACUGUUACACAACCACAUGCUGAUCUUUUAUGAACUGUUUACAGCUGCUCUCAUAAAACAAAGUAUGGCCUGCAAGCCUAAAAUAUUUACUACCUUGCCCUUUAAUUAAAUGUUUGAAGACCCCUACUCUAAUCAGUAUGAGCUUUACUUUAUACUGUCUCACUUCUAUUAUAGAAUACCUGUUAGCCAUCAAUAUACUUUCCAUAUAUAAUCACAUUACAUUACUGUUAUUAAAAAUUUCUCUCAUAAUCUAUUAUGUUCACUUGAUUCUACAAUCAUGACUUCAUUUUAAUGUACAGUCAGGAGAGGGGUUUGUAGGUUCUGCUAUUUGUCUUUUGUCUUACCCAGAAGUAAAAUCCAUUUACUUUCAACCAAUAAACAUUUCUUGAGCAUUAUUAUGUGCUAGGAAUAGCACUAGACACUAGAGAAUGAACCACUAACAAGCUAGAAAUAAUGCUUGCCCUCAUGGAAUUUAUAUUCAAAAAAGAGAGUAAGAGAAAUGCAAAAUAAAAUGAAGCAAAAUAGAAGGUGGUAUUAAUAUUAAGAAAACUAACAAAUGGUUAAGAUCGAAAGUAAUAAAGGGAGACAUACUUUCUGAUACUUUAGAAAAAUCUCUUUAAAGAGAUGUUUAAAAUGAGAUCGUAAAGAUAAACAGGAGCUAAGAAAUCAAGGAAUGGAAUGAAAAGAAAACCAUUACAAAGGGCAGAAAUAUUGGCAUAUUCAUGCAACUGAAAGAAAACAAGUAUGGUCAAAACAUAGAAAAAGAGAGAGAUCUAUAUAAGAUUAAAUCGGAGAAGUAGGCAAGAUCCAGAUCAUACAGAGCUCUGUAAUUAAAGUAAGAAAUAUAAUCUAAACUUUUAAGUGAGGAAGGCAUUAAAGUAUCUAGAACAGGAAAGUGGCAGGAUGUAAAUUACAUUUAAAAUCCUUCUUGUUACUAGACAGAAAAUGGAGUGGAGGGGGACAUGAGAGUAGUUAUGAGUCUGGUGUAAUAUUCCAGGAAAAAGAUGACAAAAAUCGAUUGGUCUGAAAGUGGUGGCAAUGAAGACAUAAAUAGGCUAUUCAAAAUAACUUGUUAAUUAGAUAUGUAUAGGGAGUAGGAGCAGGUGAGACAAAGAAUGAUCACAAUGAUUGUGGCUUGAGCCACUGUAUUGUUACUGAUGUAAUUUACAAGACUAAGUGGCCAGGUAGAAAGGAAGGAGGUAGAAAAUGAUAACUCCAUUUUGGACAAGUUAAUAUUGAAAUAUCUCUGAGAUUCCACGUGGAGAUGAAUACAAAAUAUGGAGCUCAAAGGAAAAGUCUAGGCUGGAUAUAUAAAUUAGCAGUAAAAAGGGAGAAAGAUAAUUAUAAUCAAAUAUAUAAAUUUCUGAAUAUUCCUUUUUGUCCUAAUAGUAAAAAAGGUAGUAAAAGUUUUCUUUCUUCAUUUCUCUGUGUUUCAGGGGAAAAAAGAAGUACCAUGCUCUAAAUGGUAAAGGAAGAAAUGGUAAGGAAACUGAUAAUACUAAUUGCUACCAAGGAGGGGAACCGGCUGGGUAGAAACAAGGGUGAAGAAAAGGAGACUGGUGAAAAAUGACACAGGUUUAGAUGAUUUGAAGCUGAGGUGGCAGAUUGUGCAACAGAAGAGCAUCAUUCACAAUCCCCAUAUUACGAAGAAUACCAAAAAGGCUUGUACUCAAGAUUAAGAUUUAAUAAAAUUCACCAUUUUACAGCUUCACCAAAACUGUAAGAAGCCUAGAGUCCAAUGGAAUUAAGAGAGCUUAUUCCACAGGCAAGUAUUUCAUUCAUGUGCACAUCAUCUGGAGCACAGUUAGUUGAGUGUGUUCUAAC